GGGAAUGCCUACCGUGACAUCCGACCACCAGAACAGCAUGGUUUAGGUGGACCCUUUUGCACCGUGGCUCAUAAUAGAUGCCUAAAGGAAUAAAAUCAAAGCUGAGGUGAGAGGCUCCGGGGACCUCACCUCAUCAACAUGUAAGAGAGGCAUUUCUUCAAUUACCUGAGAUUACAUACACAAGCCUGACAAACCAGUUCAGCAAGAAUUCCAGCUGGCUAUCUGAUCACCUUCCAUACUUGAUGAAGAUCUUCCUUCCUUCAACAUGCCCCUGGGCAAUUAUGUUAAAGAAGAAGUUUCUCUGAAGAAGAAUCUGAAAAAGAGUGGUCCUGUAAAGUGAGCGUUUAUAGGAUGUAUACAGCUACCUCCUGUUACUCAAGAUUCACCAAAACUGACCAAAACUCAACAGCAGCUGACAAGCUAUGGGGAAAGGUAUCAGUAUCAGGCUGCAUUGAGCCCAGACACACAGAAUAAAGGGAGGCCAGAGCCUGAGGAUGGAAGAGCCAAGAGACAGCCAAUAUAUUACACUUUGUUCCUCAUCUCAAUAAGGACUCAGGGAAU